GUGAGGUCUUGGAGUAAAGAAGAAACCUACAAGUCACUGACAGAGGCUAAACCAGAGUGCUGUGUUGGUGAAGACGCAGAGUCGAAGAGAUUUGAUGACUUCGAUGACGACACCUUUGUGGGUCUAAUGGGAAGGAGAAGUGCAGCUCAACUAAACAGUCACAGAUUCUCCCCAAUGUCAAGAAAAAGACACAUGGACCACAUCCUAGCUGAUCUGCUGGGGAGGAGGACAAGAACGGCUUGCCCGUGUACACAGGAGUAUUUUCAGCAAAGGAGAGGCUGAUUCAUCAAUCAUCAGGCAGAGGUUCUAAUGGUUUCUGUAAUGGAGAUGUCACACCGCCCC